rnacentral:lncRNA from 1 species
GGCAAGGAGCUCACCGCACUUCUUACAUCGGCACUUCCACCGGACUGCACGAACGCGUGCACCGCACUGCAUGACACAUGCCGGAGACCGUGAGGGCUCACCCUCAAUGAACUGCAUCAACACACUGGAAAAUAUACUCAACGGAAGCUUCUGAACAGCACUGCACCCAAUUCACUUAUCAGUUUUUCUAAAAAACAUUAGAAAAAAUAAAAUAAACAAUAGCAACUUUGUCGACAAAUAUAUUUAGAAAUGUGGCUAUAGCAGGGCACAUUGGACCUGGGCAUAUGGAUGCGAUCCACUAAAAAGACUAGACACAGGUUAGUCGUCGCAAGCAUGUAUUUAAUUAACAGCGGUCAAUGAACAAGAACCGGCAAGGAAACAUCAAUUCAGCAAACACCUAAGCUACACGCACGCACGAAUGGAUCAAGCAUAGAAAUGAAACUGGGGGAGGGAUGCGUAUCAAUGAAUCACCUCUGGUCUCCGCAAGUGAACAGACUGCACUUCAUGCAGGGGACAGUUCAUUAAAGCUGUUAUCCGUCCUGCAGGGUCGGGGAUGCCGAGAUACGACGAUGGCAGAGACCCCGAUGCAGGCCAUGACAGGGAUAGGGGAGUGGCAGAAGAAAGAAAUAUUAAUGGAGCUGGCCACUAGAGAGCCACGCCAUGCCACCACCAUGGGAGAGGACGACGAGGAGGACCAAGGAGGCGGCCCCGAGCGCCAUCCCUCUCCCACUCAUGCUCUCAGAAUAGGCUAGGUGGGGGAUGGGGGAGGUCAACGGAUCCAGGGCAUCUUCGGCGGAUCUUGGGGCGGAUGGGUGCCCGAUGCACCUCUGGUGACAGUCGGUGGCGGUAGAGCCGGCCUGAUCCAGCGUGGUCACCCCCCUCCUUCCCAUGGAUGGAUCUGGUGGCGGGCUCGUAGGAGAAUGCUGGAGUGGAUCCCAGUGGAGAUGGCGCGGGGCAAGGAGGCGUCAUGGCGGCGCGAGGGUAGGAGGCGGCGCUGGGGAAGGAGGCGGGGCGGUGGUGCGGGGGUAGGAGGCGACGAGGCGGGGAUGGGGAGUGUGCGACGUGAAGCGGGGGUUCGUGGGGGACACGGUGGUCGUGGGAGAGAAGGAGGAUUUGGUGGAUAAGAAGAUAAGGUGGGAUAGUGUUUUUUUAUGCACGCGCAGUUCGCUCGGUGUAGUUUGUAGCUACGGUGCAGU